rnacentral:tRNA from 1 species
UGGCGUAGUGGUAAACGCUAUGGCUGCUAACCAAAAGGUCGGCAGUUCGAAUCCGCC